AACGUAGGUGGCGAGCGUUAUCCGGAAUUACUGGGCGUAAAGGGCGCGUAGGCGGCCUACUAAGUCGGACGUGAAAUCCCUCGGCUCAACCGGGGAACUGCGUCCGAUACUGGUGGCGUCGAAUCCGGGAGAGGGAUGUGGAAUUCCAGGUGUAGCGGUGAAAUGCGUAGAUAUCUGGAGGAACACCGGUGGCGAAGGCGGCAUCCUGGACCGGUAUUGACGCUGAUGCGCGAAAGCCAGGGGAGCAAACGGG
rnacentral:rRNA from 1 species